GCAUAUCAAUAAGCGGAGGAAAAGAAACUAACAAGGAUUCCCCUAGUAACUGCGAGUGAAGCGGGAAGAGCUCAAAUUUAAAAUCUGGCGGCUUCGUCGUCCGAGUUGUAAUUUAGAGAAGUGUUUUCCGCGCUGGACCGUGUACAAGUCUCCUGGAACGGAGCGUCAUAGAGGGUGAGAAUCCCGUCUUUGACACGGACCCCCAGUGCUCUGUGAUACGCUCUCGAAGAGUCGAGUUGUUUGGGAAUGCAGCUCAAAAUGGGUGGUGAACUCCAUCUAAAGCUAAAUAUUGGCGAGAGACCGAUAGCGAACAAGUACCGUGAGGGAAAGAUGAAAAGCACUUUGGAAAGAGAGUGAAACAGUACGUGAAAUUGCUGAAAGGGAAACGCUUGAAGUCAGUCGCGUCCGCCGGAAUUCAGCCCUCGUGGUGUACUUUCCGACGGACGGGCCAGCAUCACUUUUGACCGCCGGAAAAGGGCGGAGGGAAUGUGGCACCUCCGGGUGUGUUAUAGCCCUCCGUCGUAUACGGUGAUUGGGAGUGAGGACCGCCUAUCUUGUAGGAUGCUGGCGUAAUGGCUUUAAACGACCCGUCUUGAAACACGGACCAAGGAGUCUAACAUGCCCGCGAGUGUUCGGGUGGAAAACCCGUGCGCGCAAUGAAAGUGAAAGUUGGGAAGGCUGUCGUGGCCUGCACCGACGCCCGGACUUGAGAUUUAUCGACGGUUCUGCGGUAGAGCGUGUAUGUUGGGACCCGAAAGAUGGUGAACUAUGCCUGAAUAGGGUGAAGCCAGAGGAAACUCUGGUGGAGGCUCGUAGCGAUUCUGACGUGCAAAUCGAUCGUCAAAUUUGGGUAUAGGGGCGAAAGACUAAUCGAACCAUCUAGUAGCUGGUUCCUGCCGAGU
rnacentral:rRNA from 1 species